rnacentral:rRNA from 1 species
UACGGAGGGUGCAAGCGUUAUCCGGAUUCACUGGGUUUAAAGGGUGCGUAGGAGGGCAGGUAAGUCAGUGGUGAAAUCUUCGAGCUUAACUCGGAAACUGCCGUUGAUACUACUUGUCUUGAAUACCGUGGAGGUGAGCGGAAUAUGUCAUGUAGCGGUGAAAUGCUUAGAUAUGACAUAGAACACCAAUUGCGAAGGCAGCUCACUACACGAAUAUUGACUCUGAGGCACGAAAGCGUGGGGAUCAAACAGG